GCCUAACACAUGCAAGCUGAGCGGGGAAGGGUAGCUUGCUACCUGACCUAGCGGCGGACGGGUGAGUAAUGCUUAGGAAUCUGCCUAUUAGUGGGGGACAACAUUCCGAAAGGAAUGCUAAUACCGCAUACGCCCUACGGGGGAAAGCAGGGGAUCUUCGGACCUUGCGCUAAUAGAUGAGCCUAAGUCAGAUUAGCUAGUUGGUGGGGUAAAGGCCUACCAAGGCGACGAUCUGUAGCGGGUCUGAGAGGAUGAUCCGCCACACUGGGACUGAGACACGGCCCAGACUCCUACGGGAGGCAGCAGUGGGGAAUAUUGGACAAUGGGCGAAAGCCUGAUCCAGCCAUGCCGCGUGUGUGAAGAAGGCCUUUUGGUUGUAAAGCACUUUAAGCGAGGAGGAGGCUACCGAGAUUAAUACUCUUGGAUAGUGGACGUUACUCGCAGAAUAAGCACCGGCUAACUCUGUGCCAGCAGCCGCGGUAAUACAGAGGGUGCGAGCGUUAAUCGGAUUUACUGGGCGUAAAGCGUGCGUAGGCGGCUUUUUAAGUCGGAUGUGAAAUCCCUGAGCUUAACUUAGGAAUUGCAUUCGAUACUGGGAAGCUAGAGUAUGGGAGAGGAUGGUAGAAUUCCAGGUGUAGCGG
rnacentral:rRNA from 1 species